AGAGCGAACGCUGGCGGCGUGCUUAACACAUGCAAGUCGAGUGCGCGCCCGUAGCAAUACAGGUGGCGCACGGCGCACGGGUGCGUAACACGUGGGUAAUCUGCCCUUCGAUGGGGAAUAACUCCGGGAAACCGAAGCUAAUUCCGCAUAACAUUCCUUGAACUUCGGUUUGGGGACUCAAAGCCGUAAGGCGUCGGAGGAGGAACCCGCGCACGAUUAGCUAGUUGGUAGGGUAACGGCCUACCAAGGCUUUGAUCGUUAGCUGGUCUGAGAGGAUGGCCAGCCACACUGGAACUGAGACACGGUCCAGACUCCUACGGGAGGCAGCAGUGGGGAAUCUUGCACAAUGGGCGAAAGCCUGAUGCAGCGACGCCGCGUGGGGGAUGAAGCUUUUCGGAGUGUAAACCCCUUUCGACCCGGACGAAUGUCCCGCAAGGGAACUGACGGUACGGGUAUAAGAAGCCCCGGCUAACUACGUGCCAGCAGCCGCGGUAAGACGUGGGGGGCCAGCGUUGCUCGGAAUUACUGGGUGUAAAGGGUUCGUAGGCGGUGUAGCAAGUCGGGAGUGAAAUCUCUGGGCUCAACCCAGAGGCUGCUUCCGAAACUGCUGUGCUUGAGUGUGGGAGAGGCGCGUGGAAUUGCAGGUGUAGCGGUGAAAUGCGUAGAUAUCUGCAGGAACACCCGUGGCGAAAGCGGCGCGCUGGACCACUACUGACGCUGAGGAACGAAAGCUAGGGGAGCAAACAGGAUUAGAUACCCUGGUAGUCCUAGCCCUAAACGAUCAGGACUUGGGGUGCCGCACGUUCGUGCGUCGUCCCGGAGCUAACGCGUUAAGUCCUGCACCUGGGGAGUACGGUCGCAAGACUGAA
rnacentral:rRNA from 1 species